GGUUGAUCCUGCCAGUAGUCAUAUGCUUGUCUCAAAGAUUAAGCCAUGCAUGUCUAAGCACAAACCUUUACACGGUGAAGCUGCGAAUGGCUCAUUAGGCCACCCAUGAUUUCUUAGAUCGUACAAUCCUACUUGGAUAACUGCGGUAAUUCUGGAGCUAAUACAUGCCACAAAGCUCCGACCCCUAUGGGAAAGAGCGCGUUUAUUAGGUCAAAACCAAUCGGGUCCUCGCGGCCCGUAACUCUGAUGACUCUGGAUAACUUCGAGCUGAUCGCAUGGCCUCGUGCCGGCG
rnacentral:rRNA from 1 species